rnacentral:rRNA from 1 species
CUCGUAGGCGGUUCGUCGCGUCCGGUGUGAAAGUCCAUCGCUUAACGGUGGAUCCGCGCCGGGUACGGGCGGGCUUGAGUGCGGUAGGGGAGACUGGAAUUCCCGGUGUAACGGUGGAAUGUGUAGAUAUCGGGAAGAACACCAAUGGCGAAGGCAGGUCUCUGGGCCGUCACUGACGCUGAGGAGCGAAAGCGUGGGGAGCGAACAG